rnacentral:rRNA from 1 species
AGGGUUCGAUUCUGGCUCAGGACGAACGCUGGCGGCGUGCUUAACACAUGCAAGUCGAACGAAAAGACGGAAAGAGCUUGCUCUUUUCAGAAUUGAGUGGCAAACGGGUGAGUAACACGUAAACAACCUGCCUUCAGGAUGGGGACAACAGACGGAAACGACUGCUAAUACCGAAUAGCUUCCAGAGAUCGCAUGAUCCAUGGAAGAAAAGGUGGCCUCUACCUGUAAGCUAUCGCCUGAAGAGGGGUUUGCGUCUGAUUAGCUGGUUGGAGGGGUAACGGCCCACCAAGGCGACGAUCAGUAGCCGGUCUGAGAGGAUGAACGGCCACACUGGAACUGAGACACGGUCCAG